AGAGUUUUCGUGAAACAAAUUUAAUGAAGACAAUUAUAGAAUGAAGUUCAUUCAUUUGCUAGCAACAUUUUUAAACGUGGUCCAGAUCAAAAAAAUUUGGUGCUAGAAAUUGUCGAUAGUGGAAGUGAUAGAUGCAUCGAACCUAAUUUGUAAUUAAUUUCUGUAAAUAAAUUUCACUUUACUAA
rnacentral:lncRNA from 1 species